UCGUAAACUUAGCUUCCAACCAAAAUUUCAUCUUUUUUGAACCCUAGGUUGACACCGCAUUGGCUCUUAUGGCAGCAGUGCUGCACCAUUAACCUGUAUCAACAAGGAUCGUCAUCAGGGCCCGGAGUCGCUCCGGGUGACAUUCAUAUGCUAAACAAUGGUUUAAUUCUAGUUUGAACAAAUUAUAAUUCGUUGUUAUUAUACUCAUCAAUAAUAAGACAUAGAUGCAAUAUUUCUUAUUAAUGCCAAAAUAAUAUAAUAUAGCAAACACGACACCUUAUUGGUUAAACGUGAUCAAUGCCACACAUUUAAACAGCUGCAAGUUGUGUUGUUCAACAGGAAUAGAAAACGAGAAUUGCAAUGGCAGCAAGAUUUACAGUUUUAUAUAUUUGAGACGUGAAGAGAAACAAAAAUACAAAGCAGACCAGAAGCAUCCUCUAGACCUGUUAAAAUUGAAAAGGAAAAAAAAACAACAAUAAUUCUAAGCGUAUGUACGUAAAGGAGCGCAAGUAUGCAUGAUCCUGAACUAAUCUUUUACGUGCUCUACAUGAGAUCAAAUCCAAAAGCAUCAAGUUCUGAGGACUUACUGCCUGGAAUUUCCCACAAGUCGCAGCAUGGACAUUUCCAGCAGUAACACGUAGUUCUCUUAUAUUCUCUUGUGUCAUAGAAACCCAUUUCUUGGAGUUGUGAUAAUUGUGUGGCAUACAUUUCUUCCACAUGGAGCUUACCAUCAGACCAGCAGUAUCAGGUGCUCCUGAAACUGCAACUAAACGAAAAAUAAGGGUAAAAAUAUGAAAGAUAGAGGAAGGUCCUAAAGCAAGUUCGAGAGAGCCAUUGAUUGUUCGAGCAACUACUCUUCAUGCCCUUUGUAGAGAAAGUUCAGAACUACAAAUUGUACUCAUUUUUAUCAUGUACCUGUAGUAACACCACCCUGGUCUGUA
rnacentral:lncRNA from 1 species